rnacentral:rRNA from 1 species
CUUAUCUGCAGAAGCAGCCAGCUUGCUGGAAGCGGAUGAGGGAAAGGCUUAGUGGCGGACGGGUGAGUAACGCGUGGGUAACCUGGCCCAUACAGGGGGAUAACACUUAGAAAUAGGUGCUAAUACCGCAUAACAACAGAAAGCGCAUGCUUUUUGUUUGAAAACCAAGGUGGUAUGGGAUGGACCCGCGUCUGAUUAGCUGGUUGGCGGGGUAAAGGCCCACCAAGGCGACGAUCAGUAGCCGGCCUGAGAGGGUGGACGGCCACAUUGGGACUGAGACACGGCCCAAACUCCUACGGGAGGCAGCAGUGGGGAAUAUUGCACAAUGGGGGAAACCCUGAUGCAGCGACGCCGCGUGAGUGAAGAAGUAAUUCGUUAUGUAAAGCUCUAUCAGCAGGGAAGAAAAUGACGGUACCUGAGUAAGAAGCCCCGGCUAACUACGUGCCAGCAGCCGCGGUAAUACGUAGGGGGCAAGCGUUAUCCGGAUUUACUGGGUGUAAAGGGAGCGUAGACGGCAGUGCAAGUCUGGAGUGAAAGGCGGGGGCUCAACCCCCGGACUGCUCUGGAAACUGUACGGCUGGAGUGCAGGAGAGGUAAGUGGAAUUCCUAGUGUAGCGGUGAAAUGCGUAGAUAUUAGGAGGAACACCAGUGGCGAAGGCGGCUUACUGGACUGUAACUGACGUUGAGGCUCGAAAGCGUGGGGAGCAAACAGGAUUAGAUACCCUGGUAGUCCACGCCGUAAACGAUGAUCACUAGGUGUCGGGGGUUAAAGAA